CAAGGCGGUUGUUUUCUAGCCUAGAGUGUCACGUGACCAUUUAGACAGGUGUCCUCAAGCAGUAUGCCAAAAUACAUAAUCCUAUGGAAACUUUUGUUCAGGAGAAGGCGAAGACCACCCAUGAGAACACAAGAGGUGUAAAGACUGCAGGAGGAACUAUUCAACAAGAACAAGGAGUCAAGCUUCGACAUGGAAAAUCUGCAGAGCGUGAAUCAGCUACUCUCUCGCAAGAAUCACCAGCUGAGAAGGCGAGGAUAUGGUGGCCAUUUCCGUGCCCAGCUCCCAUAGAGAAUCAAAAUUAGAUGGAGCUCUACCAAACAUGCCCUUAAUAUUGUGUGCACUUCAUGUCCUGAUUCAGUCCUGCGUUUGGGA